rnacentral:rRNA from 1 species
GAUUGCCCUAGUUAACGGCGAGUGAAGCGGCAACAGCUCAAAUUUGAAAUCUGGCCCUCUCAGGGUCCGAGUUGUAAUUUGCAGAGGGUGCUUUGGCGAUGGCUGUGGUCUAAGUUCCUUGGAACAGGACGUCACAGAGGGUGAGAAUCCCGUACGUGGCCGCCAGCCUCCGCCGUGUAAAGCCCCUUCGACGAGUCGAGUUGUUUGGGAAUGCAGCUCUAAAUGGGAGGUAAAUUCCUUCUAAAGCUAAAUACUGGCCAGAGACCGAUAGCGCACAAGUAGAGUGAUCGAAAGAUGAAAAGCACUUUGGAAAGAGAGUCAAAAAGCACGUGAAAUUGUUGAAAGGGAAGCGCUUGCAGCCAGACAUGCCUGUAGUUGCUCACCGGGGCUCUUGCCCUGGGCACUCUUCUACGGGCAGGCCAGCAUCAGUCCGGGCGGUUGGAUAAAUGCCUGCUACAUGUACCUCUCUUCGGGGAGGACUUAUAGGGUAGGCGACAUACAGCCAGCCUGGACUGAGGUCCGCGCAUCUGCUAGGAUGCUGGCGUAAUGGCUGUAAGCGGCCCGUCUUGAAACACGGACCAAGGAGUCUAACAUCUAUGCNAGUGUUUGGGUGUAAAGCCCGAGCGCGGAAUGAAAGUGAACGGAGGUGGGAACCCCUCGGGGUGCACCAUCGACCGAUCCUGAUGUCUUCGGAUGGAUUUGAGUAUGAGCAUAGCUGUUGGGACCCGAAAGAUGGUGAACUAUGCCUGAAUAGGGUGAAGCCAGAGGAAACUCUGGUGGAGGCUCGCAGCGGUUCUGACGUGCAAAUCGAUCGUCAAAUUUGGGCAUAGGGGCGAAAGACUAAUCGAACCAUCUAGUAGCUGGUUCCUGCCGAA